ensembl:misc_RNA
UGUACAGCUUUGAAGACUUACACUGUCCCUUUAUAAUACCCAGAGAGCAGGCACAGCUCAGGCAAUCGCAGGGACAGUUUCUUCCACAUUGCCCCACAAAUGUGCUUCAACACAUCUCCGAAGGAAACACCCCUGGCAAGGAGAGGGUAGGUCUGUGUCUAUAGCCCAUUGAACCCCUGGCCUUU